UGAACGCUGGCGGCAGGCCUAACACAUGCAAGUCGAACGGUAACAGGAAGCAGCUUGCUGCUUCGCUGACGAGUGGCGGACGGGUGAGUAAUGUCUGGGAAACUGCCUGAUGGAGGGGGAUAACUACUGGAAACGGUGGCUAAUACCGCAUAACGUCGCAAGACCAAAGAGGGGGACCUUCGGGCCUCUUGCCAUCAGAUGUGCCCAGAUGGGAUUAGCUUGUUGGUGAGGUAACGGCUCACCAAGGCGACGAUCCCUAGCUGGUCUGAGAGGAUGACCAGCCACACUGGAACUGAGACACGGUCCAGACUCCUACGGGAGGCAGCAGUGGGGAAUAUUGCACAAUGGGCGCAAGCCUGAUGCAGCCAUGCCGCGUGUAUGAAGAAGGCCUUCGGGUUGUAAAGUACUUUCAGCGGGGAGGAAGGUGUUGUGGUUAAUAACCGCAGCAAUUGACGUUACCCGCAGAAGAAGCACCGGCUAACUCCGUGCCAGCAGCCGCGGUAAUACGGAGGGUGCAAGCGUUAAUCGGAAUUACUGGGCGUAAAGCGCACGCAGGCGGUCUGUCAAGUCGGAUGUGAAAUCCCCGGGCUCAACCUGGGAACUGCAUUCGAAACUGGCAGGCUUGAGUCUUGUAGAGGGGGGUAGAAUUCCAGGUGUAGCGGUGAAAUGCGUAGAGAUCUGGAGGAAUACCGGUGGCGAAGGCGGCCCCCUGGACAAAGACUGACGCUCAGGUGCGAAAGCGUGGGGAGCAAACAGGAUUAGAUACCCUGGUAGUCCACGCCGUAAACGAUGUCUACUUGGAGGUUGUGCCCUUGAGGCGUGGCUUCCGGAGCUAACGCGUUAAGUAGACCGCCUGGGGAGUACGGCCGCAAGGUUAAAACUCAAAUGAAUUGACGGGGGCCCGCACAAGCGGUGGAGCAUGUGGUUUAAUUCGAUGCAACGCGAAGAACCUUACCUGGUCUUGACAUCCACAGAAGAAUCCAGAGAUGGAUUUGUGCCUUCGGGAACUGUGAGACAGGUGCUGCAUGGCUGUCGUCAGCUCGUGUUGUGAAAUGUUGGGUUAAGUCCCGCAACGAGCGCAACCCUUAU
rnacentral:rRNA from 1 species